GGCCACGCACAGGAGGAACCAAACCGUCCGGCUGUUCUGCUUGCGCCUCGUCGCCUCCUCUCCUCUGCCCUCCAUGGCGGCAGAUCGCUAGGUCUUCCUCCACAUCUCAGCUCCCCCGCUUUUGCUACUCCGUCCGGCGCGGCGGCGUCCCACUGCCACCGGCGACCAGCUCCUGUCUUCUACACCGGACAUCACCCAGCCGGCGAGGCAGUCCGCCAGGCUAAGCGAUGGGAAAACAACAGAAGAUGCAAUCAUUUUUUAAAAGAAAACGAGAUGAUGAAGAAGAAGUUGCUGAAGACACACCUGAUGCUCUUGGGCUGGUGGUAUUUGUAAAUGAAAGACAAGAUGAAGAUGUGCAAGAUGAAGAAGAGCAAGAAAAUCCUAACAGUCAAGAUGAAGGACAAGAGCAGCAAGCAAGCGGACCUGUAAUAUUUCGUGGAAUUGAUCUCUUGGAGCGAGAUCCUGCGUUACGUCCACAAGUGUGGCAGUACCCUCCGAACCAGAGAGAUGAUGUUCGAAGAGCAUAUAUGAGGUUGGGUCCAAUGCAGCCUAAGCUAAAGAAGUAUAAAGCUACCGGAAUACAAGGAUAGAAAAGGCGUUUUCAGUACAGUUAUUUCAGCCAUUUUCCAUCAUGGCUAGAGUAUUCAGUGAGCAGUGGACGUGCAUAUUGUCUGUUUUGCUUCCUUUUCAGCACAAACAUAAAGAAAAGAGGUGGCUUUGAUGUCUUCACAACACAAGGGUUUGAUAGGUGGAAGAAAGUUCAUGAUGGAAAGAAGUGUGCAUUUUUAACUCACAUGGGAACAAGUCCUUGCUCACAACACAACAAUGCAGUGAGAGCUAGCCAUGCCUUACUAAAUCAGCCCAACCAUUUAGCAAACAUUUUAGAGGUGAAGAGCAACGAGGAGAAAGAGAAGGACCGCUUAAGACUGAAAAGAACGAUUGCAUGUGUUAAGUGGCUCACAUUUCAGUCUUGUGCUUUGAGAGGCCAUAAUGAGAGACCAGAGUCAAAAAAUAGAGGAAAUUUCCUUGAGAUGCAAAAACUUCUUGCAGAGUUUUGUCCUGAUAUUGCAGCUGUAAUUGAUGGGAAUGCUCCACAAGUGUGCAAGUACAAUUCACAUGAAAUACAAAAUGAGAUCUUGGGCAUUUAUGCUAUGAAAGUCAGGGAGCAUAUUAGAUCAGAAAUUGGGGACUCCAAGUAUUCUAUUCUUGUCGAUGAAACAUGUGACGUCUCCAAAAGAGAGAAAAUGGCACUAGUAUUCAGAUUUGUUGAUAAACAUGGUUGUUUACAAGAAAGGUUCUUUCAUCUCAUACAUGUGGCCAACACAAAAUCAAAAACACUCAA